AUACGGAGGAUGCGAGCGUUAUCCGGAUUUAUUGGGUUUAAAGGGAGCGUAGGUGGGUUAUUAAGUCAGCUGUGAAAGUUUGGGGCUCAACCUUAAAAUUGCAGUUGAUACUGGUUUCCUUGAGUACGGUACAGGUGGGCGGAAUUCGUGGUGUAGCGGUGAAAUGCUUAGAUAUCACGAAGAACUCCGAUCGCGAAGGCAGCUCACCGGGCCGGAACUGACACUGAUGCUCGAAAGUGCGGGUAUCAAACAGGAUUAGAUACCCUGGUAGUCCGCACAGUAAACGAUGAAUACUCGCUGUUUGCGAUACACUGUAAGCGGCCAAGCGAAAGCGUUAAGUAUUCCACCUGGGGAGUACGCCGGCAACGGUGAAACUCAAAUGAAUUGACGGGG
rnacentral:rRNA from 1 species